rnacentral:rRNA from 1 species
GUAGGGUGGCAAGCGUUGUCCGGAUUUACUGGGCGUAAAGCGCGCGCAGGUGGCCCGCCAAGUCUGGGGGUGAAAUCUCCCGGCUCAACCGGGAGAGGUCUCUGGAAACUGACGGGCUUGAGGAGAGCAGAGGAGAGUGGAAUUUCCGGUGUAGCGGUGAUAUGCGUAGAUAUCGGAAGGAACACCAGUGGCGAAGGCGGCUCUCUGGGCUCUUCCUGACGCUGAGGCGCGAAAGCGUGGGGAGCGAACCGGAUUAGAUACCCGGGUAGUCCACGCUGUAAACGUUGGGCACUAGGUGUGGGAGGUAUUGACCCCUUCCGUGCCGAAGUUAACGCAUUAAGUGCCCCGCCUGGGGAGUACGGCCGCAAGGCUA